GCCCGCUUAGCACAGUGGUACUGCGUUGCACUCGUAUCACGAAAAAUGCAAAGAUCGGCGGUUCGAUUCCGCCAGCGGGCA